rnacentral:rRNA from 1 species
UACCAGCACCCCGAGUGGUCGGGACAUGAUUGGUGCCUAAAGCAUCCGUAGCCGGCCUUACAAGUCCUCCGUUAAAUCCAGCUGCUUAACAGAUGGGCUGCGGAGGAUACUAUAAGACUAGGAGGCAGGAGAGGCAAGCGGUACUCAGUGGGUAGGGGUAAAAUCCGUUGAUCCAUUGAAGACCACCAGUGGCGAAGGCGGCUUGCCAGAAUGCGCUCGACGGUGAGGGAUGAAAGCUGGGGGAGCAAACCGG